GUGUCAGCAGCCGCGGUAAUACGUAGGGUGCGAGCGUUAAUCGGAAUUACUGGGCGUAAAGCGCAUGUAGGUGGUUUGUUAAGCUAGCUGUGAAAUCCCCGGGCUUAACCUGGGAACUGCGCUUGUGACUGCAAGACUCGAGUACGGCGGAGGGGGGUAGAAUUCCACGUGUAGCAGUGAGAUGCGUAGAGAUGCGGAGGAACACCGAUGGCGAAGGCAGCCCCCUGGGCUAGCACUGACGCUCAGGCACGAAAGCGUGGGGAGCAAACAGGAUUAGAUACCCCAGUAGUCC
rnacentral:rRNA from 1 species